rnacentral:RNase_MRP_RNA from 2 species
GCCCAAACACAAGAAUCGCUUUUGCAGUUCACGCACUGGUUGGCAUUGCGACCAUCCGAUCUCACACUGUGGGUCGAAAGUCCCCGGAGCCUCCCCCAUCUCGUCUUUACUCCUAUCCUCUCCGCUAUUCGUUCUGCUUCCCCGCCCAGACGCACGGUAUUUUCAGCUUUUCUUUAUGCCUUCCUAUUAGCCCCUUUACCAUCACCCCCUUGCUUUAAUUUGACACUCCUGCCGGGAAAGCGCUGUAUCUAAGACUACAGAGUGGCGGUUGUAGUUGGAUUGAGGGUGUGUGAUGGGGAGGUAAGUGAACGGUCUGGUUUGGAUAGUUGAGGUAUAUUGUGUAGGGUGUGGCAAAUGGUUGUUUGGCUGGCCUUGGCGUCCCACUGGUUUCUUUCCUUCUGUGUAGGCCACCCGGUUCAUCCGGUGGAGCAUGGGAGGUGCCAGUGCUUGGGUCUGGACUGGAGUUUCUUUUUUUUUGCGGUCUGCUGGCUUCAGGCGAAGAUAUGAGCCUUGGUCGGUUGUCAUGGCUGCAUGAAGGAGGGCGGGUUGACAAUGGGGGAUGAAACAAAUGCGCUCAUAGCUAUAGUCAUGCGAUUGCCUGUUUUACCCAUCCACCUUGUGGUGUGGUGGGGUAGGUAACUCGAUGGGGCUUACUCUGUGCUUUUGGG